GAGGAAUAUUGGUCAAUGGACGAGAGUCUGAACCAGCCAAAUCGCGUGAAGGAAGACUGCCCUACGGGUUGUAAACUUCUUUUGUACAGGAAUAAAAGACAUUACGUGUAAUGUAUUGCAUGUACUGUACGAAUAAGCAUCGGCUAACUCCGUGCCAGCAGCCGCGGUAAUACGGAGGAUGCGAGCGUUAUCCGGAUUUAUUGGGUUUAAAGGGUGCGCAGGCGGGAUGUUAAGUCAGCGGUGAAAUUUUCAGGCUCAACCUGAACACUGCCGUUGAAACUGGGAUUCUUGAGUAUGGAUGAAGUAGGAGGAAUUCGUUGUGUAGCGGUGACAUGCUUAGAUAUAACGAGGAACUCCGAUUGCGUAGGCAGCUUACUAAGCCAUAACUGACGCUCAAGCACGAAAGCGUGGGGAUCAAACA
rnacentral:rRNA from 1 species